rnacentral:rRNA from 1 species
UCUAGAUUAGAGUUUGAUCCUGGCUCAGAUUGAACGCUGGCGGCAGGCCUAACACAUGCAAGUCGGACGGUAGCACAGAGGAGCUUGCUCCUUGGGUGACGAGUGGCGGACGGGUGAGUAAUGUCUGGGGAUCUGCCCGAUAGAGGGGGAUAACCACUGGAAACGGUGGCUAAUACCGCAUAACGUCGCAAGACCAAAGAGGGGGACCUUCGGGCCUCUCACUAUCGGAUGAACCCAGAUGGGAUUAGCUAGUAGGCGGGGUAAUGGCCCACCUAGGCGACGAUCCCUAGCUGGUCUGAGAGGAUGACCAGCCACACUGGAACUGAGACACGGUCCAGACUCCUACGGGAGGCAGCAGUGGGGAAUAUUGCACAAUGGGCGCAAGCCUGAUGCAGCCACGCCGCGUGUAUGAAGAAGGCCUUCGGGUUGUAAAGUACUUUCAGCGGGGAGGAAGGCGACGGGGUUAAUAACCCUGUCGAUUGACGUUACCCGCAGAAGAAGCACCGGCUAACUCCGUGCCAGCAGCCGCGGUAAUACGGAGGGUGCAAGCGUUAAUCGGAAUUACUGGGCGUAAAGCGCACGCAGGCGGUCUGUUAAGUCAGAUGUGAAAUCCCCGGGCUUGACCUGGGAACUGCAUUUGAAACUGGCAGGCUUGAGUCUUGUAGAGGGGGGUAGAAUUCCAGGUGUAGCGGUGAAAUGCGUAGAGAUCUGGAGGAAUACCGGUGGCGAAGGCGGCCCCCUGGACAAAGACUGACGCUCAGGUGCGAAAGCGUGGGGAGCAAAACAGGAUUAGAUACCCUGGUAGUCCACGCCGUAAAACGAUGUCGACUUGGAGGUUGUUCCCUUGAGGAGUGGCUUCCGGAGCUAACGCGUUAAGUCGACCGCCUGGGGAGUACGGCCGCAAGGUUAAAACUCAAAUGAAUUGACGGGGGCCCGCACAAGCGGUGGAGCAUGUGGUUUAAUUCGAUGCAACGCGAAGAACCUUACCUACUCUUGACAUCCACGGAAUUUGGCGGAGAUGCCUUAGUGCCUUCGGGAACCGUGAGACAGGUGCUGCAUGGCUGUCGUCAGCUCGUGUUGUGAAAUGUUGGGUUAAGUCCCGCAACGAGCGCAACUCUUAUCCUUUGUUGCCAGCGAUUCGGUCGGGAACUCAAAGGAGACUGCCGGUGAUAAACCGGAGGAAGGUGGGGAUGACGUCAAGUCAUCAUGGCCCUUACGAGUAGGGCUACACACGUGCUACAAUGGCGCAUACAAAGAGAAGCGACCUCGCGAGAGCAAGCGGACCUCACAAAGUGCGUCGUAGUCCGGAUCGGAGUCUGCAACUCGACUCCGUGAAGUCGGAAUCGCUAGUAAUCGUGGAUCAGAAUGCCACGGUGAAUACGUUCCCGGGCCUUGUACACACCGCCCGUCACACCAUGGGAGUGGGUUGCAAAAGAAGUAGGUAGCUUAACCUUCGGGAGGGCGCUUACCACUUUGUGAUUCAUGACUGGGGUGAAGUCGUAACAAGGUAACCGUAGGGGAACCUGCGGCUGGAUCACCUCCUUA